rnacentral:tRNA from 1 species
GGGUCGUUAGCUCAGUUAAGAGGUUGACUUUUAAUCAAUUGGUCGCAGGUUCGAAUCCUGCACGACCCA